UCGGUCUCCCUCACUCUUUCCAAUAGCUCCCUCUCUUUCGUUUCAAUUCACGAAAACUCUCGGUCUCCCUCUCUUUGAUUGCUAUAUCUUUCUGUUUCUCUCCAUCGAUCUCUCUCUUGCUCAAUCAACAACAACCUUCGGUCUCCCUAUGUUCUCAUCGUUCUCCAUGACUCAAACAACAAAAACCAGAAACAUUCUCAUGUCAUCAAAACCCUAGAGUUUCAAAAUUAGAUUAAAUAGCAAUGGAGUGCAAGUUCAAUCGAAUAUCAUGGGGGCUAUUACCGAUCAAGUCUCGAUGAACACAGUGGUAUUUUAAAAAAAAGCGAAGAAGGAGAUCUUACACGGUCGGAGCUUGUUCGACGAGACUUCCUUUUCCGGCGGUGGUUCAGUAACUCUGGUCUGGUUCAUUGCAGGUGAGGUGAUGAAGCAGAUGAGUUCAAUGGCUCAUUGAUUCAUUUAAUUGAUGCUGCAGCUUUUUGAAUUGGUUUGUUGGUUGUGGCUGCUAUGGUGCUGUUUGUGUAUGAAGAUUUUCAAACAGAUUUAUUUGAAGUUGUUGAUCGAAGAGCGAAGUUGGUUGGCAGUGACAUAGCAGAAGAACAAUCUGAUUCCAAGUCUCCAGGAAAACAAGAAGCGGUUAUUUUGCCUAGCUAAAUGAUUGUGCAUGUGGGUUCAACGCUUUUGGUUCGUGAAGUGUGGUUACUACUUGGUGCUAUUUUGUUGUUGUCUCUUGUUUUCUAGGUGUUUUAUUUAGAGAAUAUGACUUUUUAUUUUGGGGUUUGAAUUAAAGUACUCUUAGAUGGAAUGCAUGCAUCUACAAAUUUGGCUAUGCAAAUGCCUUUUUUUUUUAAGUACACUAAAUACCCUCUAUAUAUGUUAUGAUAUUUGUAAACAAGAGGAUUUAGUUUAAAAUGUUAUUUGAUAUUAAUGGAUCAUAAUAUGUAUGCAAUGAGUAACAUAAAGCGUUAUUUGAUAUUGAAUUGAAUGUAGUUUCUUGAUAUUUACACACCAAUAGAAUGAUUUUAUGUACAGCAAAUAAAAAAAGUGUACCAUAUAUUAGCGCUUUCUUUGAAAGUGCUAUCAAACAUGAGUCAUAUAUUAGCGCUUUCUUUGAAAGUGCUAUCAAACAUGAGUCAUAUAUUAGCGCUUUCUUAGAAAGUGCUAUCAAACAUGAGUCAAUUAUAGCGUUUUCUUUUUAAAGUGCUAUCAAACAUGAGUCAUAUA